GGGAGCCUGAGAAACGGCUACCACAUCNANGGAUGGCAGCAGGCGCGCAAAUUACCCAAUCCCGACACGGGGAGGUAGUGACAAUAAAUAACAAUACGGGGUUCUUUUGGAUCUCGUAAUUGGAAUGAGUACAAUUUAAAUCUCUUAACGAGGAACAAUUGGAGGGCAAGUCUGGUGCCAGCAGCCGCGGUAAUUCCAGCUCCAAUAGCGUAUANNNAAGUUGUUGCAGUUAAAAAGCUCGUAGUUGAAUUUCGGGGUUAGUAGGUUGGUCAUGCCUCCGGUAUGUACUGAUCUCACUGAUUCCUCCUUCCUUAUGAACCGUAAUGCCAUUAAUUUGGUGUUGCGGGGAAUUUGGACUGUUACUUUGAAAAAAUUAGAGUGUUUAAAGCAGGCUAACGCUUGAAUACAUUAGCAUGGAAUAAUGAAAUAGGACGUUCGAUCUUAUUUUGUUGGUUUCUAGGAUUGACGUAAUGAUUAAUAGGGAUAGUUGGGGGCAUUAGUAUUCAAUUGUCAGAGGUGAAAUUCUUGGAUUUAUUGAAGACUAACUACUGCGAAAGCAUUUGCCAAGGAUGUUUUCAUUAAUCAAGAACGAAAGUUAGGGGAUCGAAGACGAUCAGAUACCGUCGUAGUCUUAACCAUAAACUAUGCCGACUAGGGAUCGGAUGAUGUUAAUUUUUUAAUGACUCAUUCGGCGCCUUACGG
rnacentral:rRNA from 1 species